AGUUACUGCAAUUUUAUCCUCCCUCUCUUCCCUUCCCCAGCUCUUCAUCGAUGGGAGAAGAAUAUGAACUUGACAUUUGCUCACUGAAAGCAGAUGGAUGAGUUGCUGUUUCAGGGAUGUAUUUCAGGCUUCCCAUUUCCUGCAAGUCCAGUGGUCUUGCACAAGGACCCUAGAAUUCAGCUUGG
rnacentral:lncRNA from 12 species